CUCAUAUACAUUAUACCACACUUCGUCUCUCUCUUCCUUCCUAAUCCUGUGCUCUCGUCAACUGGCGGGUGCUUGAUCAGUGAAUAAAUAAAUAAACUAAUAAAGAUUUGGUCCUGUGCCGAGGUUCGAACCGCCACAAUGGCGCCUGUGAGAACCACAGGCGCUGUUGUCGCUGCAAUCUCAGUGACCAUAGCGUUGCUCUCUCUCUUCCUCUACAAGUCCAAGCCCUCCUCUAAAAUGCUACCCUCAAAGAAAAAUCCCAGAAAUGGCCUCCUUGGUGCCAUUGGAAACACCCCUCUCAUUCGCAUCAACAGCCUCUCCGAGGCGACCGGUUGUGAAAUACUUGGCAAGUGCGAAUUUUUGAACCCCGGAGGGAGUGUGAAAGACAGAGUUGCUGUGAAAAUCAUUGAAGAGGCUUUGGAAUCUGGAGACCUUGCUCCAGGUGGAGUAGUCACUGAGGGGAGUGUUGGAAGCACAGCUAUUAGCCUUGCUACUGUUGCUCCAGCUUAUGGUUGCAAAUGCCACGUGGUUAUACCUGAUGACGUUGCUAUUGAGAAGUCUCAAAUACUUGAAGCCCUGGGAGCCACUGUAGAAAGGGUAAGGCCAGUGUCAAUCACACACAGAGACCACUUCGUCAAUGUUGCUAAACGACGGGCAUCAGAAGCAAAUGAGUUUGCAUUAAAGCAUAGAAAAGAUGAUGCGAAUCAGAGGGGUGUUGCCAAUGGCACCACCGAGAAGACUAAUGGUUUCCAAUAUGAUGAAGAGAAACAAAGUUUGUUUUCAAGGAACUGUACAGGUGGUUACUUUGCUGAUCAGUUUGAAAAUCUGGCAAACUUCCGGGCCCACUAUGAGGCUACUGGGCCUGAGAUUUGGGAACAGACUGGAGGAAAUGUAGAUGCAUUUGUGGCGGGAGCAGGAACAGGUGGUACUCUGGCAGGUGUUUCUAAGUUUCUCCAGGAAAGGAAUUCAAACAUUAAAUGCUUCCUAAUAGAUCCUCCUGGUUCUGGUUUAUUCAAUAAAGUUACGAGGGGAGUGAUGUACACCAGAGAGGAGGCUGAAGGACAAAGGCUAAAGAAUCCAUUUGACACGAUAACUGAGGGAAUUGGAAUCAAUAGAAUAACAAAGAAUUUUAUGAUGGCAAAACUUGAUGGGGCUUUCCGAGGCACAGAUAAGGAAGCUGUUGAAAUGUCCAGGUUUCUUAUGAAGAAUGACGGGCUGUUUUUGGGGAGUUCUUCAGCCAUGAAUUGUGUUGGAGCAGUACGAGCGGCACAGUCAAUUGGUCCUGGUCACACAAUUGUGACUAUUUUGUGCGAUAGUGGGAUGAGACAUCUGAGCAAAUUUUUCAGUGCUGAUUAUCUAUCUCAAUAUGGUUUGACACCUUCGGCUAGCGGAUUAGAGUUCCUGGGUGUUGGAUGAAAUAUGUACCCGCCAAGGGAUUCUCCAUUUUCCUCUACAUUCAUCCAAAUAGAACCAGUGGCUAAGUUAAUUUUUAGGGUUGGUUGCAUAGAUACAAGCCUUUAUCCAUCUGAAGUUCUGAAAUUUUGAAGAUAGUAGUUUCUGAAGCAGCAACAUUACAGCAGAAGUAUCCUCAAUAGAUUUCUAUUACAGCAUUGUGCUCUUUACGAAAUCUAUGGCUCUAGGCCAUAAUCACUUUUAUGGAGAAUAAUCGUUCUCACCAUUUGAAAUUAGUCUUAUUCUCAUUCUGAUAGACAUUAAAUUUUAUGCUGGGAAAUAGAACUGUGUAUAUAGAGGAUUCUUAAAUUUUAA